rnacentral:rRNA from 1 species
UACGGAGGAUGCAAGCGUUAUCCGGAAUGAUUGGGCGUAAAGGGUCCGCAGGUGGCAGUGUAAGUCUGCUGUCAAAGAAUGAGGCUUAACCUCAUCAAGGCAGUGGAAACUACACAGCUAGAGUACGGUCGGGGUAGAAGGAAUUCCUGGUGUAGCGGUGAAAUGCGUAGAUAUCUGGAGGAACACCGGUGGCGAAGGCGGCAUCCUGGACCGGCAUUGACGCUGAGGAGCGAAAGCCAGGGGAGCAAACGGG